rnacentral:rRNA from 1 species
GACGAACCGUGCGAACGUUAUUCGGAAUCACUGGGCUUAAAGCGCGUGUAGGCGGAUGGGAACGUCGGUCGUUGAAAUCCCCCGGCUUAACCGGGGAAGUGGCGCCGAUACGCCCCGUCUUGAGGAGCGUAGGGGGAGCGGGAACUUCCGGUGGAGCGGUGAAAUGCGUUGAGAUCGGAAGGAACGCCCGUGGCGAAAGCGAGGUCCUGGACGCUUACUGACGCUGAGACGCGAAAGCCAGGGGAGCGAACGGG